rnacentral:rRNA from 1 species
UACGUAGGGGGCAAGCGUUGUCCGGAAUCAUUGGGCGUAAAGAGCGUGUAGGCGGCUUGGUAAGUCCGCUGUGAAAGUCCAGGGCUCAACCCUGGAAUGCCGGUGGAAACUGUCAAGCUUGAGUCCGGAAGAGGCGAGUGGAAUUCCUGGUGUAGCGGUGAAAUGCGCAGAUAUCAGGAGGAACACCAAUGGCGAAGGCAGCUCGCUGGGACGGUACUGACGCUGAGGUGCGAAAGCGGGGGGAGCAAACAGG